CACCCAGUUCGAGCUUCCCGGCUGCUUUGUUUACCUAAUCAAGCCUGGGCAAUGGCGGGCGCCCCUCCCCCAGCCUCCUUGCCGCCUUGCAGUUUGAUCUCAGACUGCUGUGCUAGCAAUCAGCGAGACUCCAUGGGAUAGGACCCUCUGAGCCAGGUGCGGGAUAUAGUCUCCUGGUGCACCGUUUUUUAAGCCCGUCGGAAAAGCGCAGUAUUAGGGUGGGAGUGACCCGGUUUUCCAGGUGCCAUCUAUCACUCUUUUCUUUGACUAGGAAAGGGAACUCCCUGACCCCUUGUGCUUCCCCAGUGAGUCAAUGCCUAGCCCUGCUUCGGCUUGCGCACGGUGCGCUGCACCCUCUGUCCUGCGCCCACUGUCUGGCACUCUCUAGUGAGAUGAACCUGGUACCUCAGAUGGAAAUGCAGAAAUCACCGGUCUUCUGCGUUGCUCACGCUGGGAGCUGUAGACCGGAGCUGUUCCUAUUCGGCCAUCUUGGCUGCCAGAACCGAAAGGAAGAAAAACAAGAAGUUUCCUUCCGCAAACUUCCUAAAAGGUGCCAUGUGUUUUCCUAAAACCAAGGAAAAUUCUAAAAUAGAACUACCAUAUGAUUCAGCAAUCCCACUUCUCUAAAUCUCCAGAAUCUCCAGGGAUUGGAACCAAGUGCUUUAUCUUUACCAUAUACCAAUCCAUGAAUCAACUCCAAAACAGAUCUCUAGAAACAGACAAGACUGACUACUGCCUGAAGGUUUCUGACACCAAGUUCCUGAGAUGUACCAAAUAUGAAAUAAUUUUAGAAUUCGAUCUCAAAUGGCCCUUUUGCAAACUCCAAAAUGUUGUGUAAGUCCAUUUUCUCUUUUGCAUUAUUCUCACAAACAUACUAAAACGUGAUUUGAUGUCUUCUAUUUAUAUUAGUGGUUCAAACAGUUUUAAGCAUACGAAUUAUUUUUCUUCUUAUUUUUUAGAACAUCCUCUUAGGUAGUGCUUCUUCUGUUACCAGUGACAUAAAUGAUCUUUUGUAUCAUAUAACUUAAAGGUUAAAGGGUCAGCUGACUUUUGGUGACAUUAGAUUAUAAAUUCAGGUGAUGUCAUUGGACUCUCUUUACUCAAGUCUCAUCUCUGCUUUCCUUGCAUUUAGGGUUGUCAGAUAAAAUAAUGUCUCCUUAAAUUUAAAUUUCAGAGAGACAAUAAAGAAUGUUUAAUAUAAGUGUAUCACAUACAUUCCAUGGGACAUGCUAU
rnacentral:lncRNA from 1 species